rnacentral:RNase_P_RNA from 1 species
GACGGCCUGCCGCGUGCGCUCCGCGCGAGCGGUGGCGCAGGAGGAAAGUCCGGGCAGCACAGGGCAACCCGCUUCUUAACGGGAAGGGGCCCGCGAGGGUCGGGUAGUGCAGAAGAAAACAACCGCCCCGCCACCAGGCGAGGUAAGGGUGAGAAGGUGGGGUAAGAGCCCACCGGCCGCAUGGCGACAUGCGGGCCGUGCACCCCGGGUGCUGAAAGUUCGUGUAAACCGGCGACAGAGGGUGGCCCGUCCGAGUUGUCAGCAGGCAUGCGCCGGAGGGUGGAACGAUAGAGCCACGGCGGCAACGUCGGGCCUGGAUAAAUGGCAGGCACGCCGCUCAGGCGGCGCACAGAACCCGGCUUACAGGCUGGCUGC